UUUACAAUGGAGAGUUUGAUCCUGGCUCAGGAUGAACGCUAGCGGCAGGCCUAAUACAUGCAAGUCGAACGGGCAGCAAUGCCAGUGGCAAACGGGUGCGUAACGCGUAAACAACCUGCCCCGGAU
rnacentral:rRNA from 1 species